UUGGAGGGCAAGUCUGGUGCCAGCAGCCGCGGUAAUUCCAGCUCCAAUAGCGUAUAUUAAAGUUGUUGCAGUUAAAAAGCUCGUAGUUGAAUUUCGGGAUCAAUACGUCGGUCGUGCUUCGGUACGUACUGGCGUAAUUGAUUUCUCCCUUCUGACGAACCAUGAUGUCAUUAACUUGGUGUCAUGGGAAAUCAGGACUGUUACUUUGAAAAAAUUAGAGUGUUUAAAGCAGGCUCACGCUUGAAUACAUUAGCAUGGAAUAAUGAAAUAGGACGUUCGAUCCUAUUUUGUUGGUUUUUAGGAUCAACGUAAUGAUUAAUAGGGAUAGUUGGGGGCAUUAGUAUUCAAUUGUCAGAGGUGAAAUUCUUGGAUUUAUUGAAGACUAACUACUGCGAAAGCAUUUGCCAAGGAUGUUUUCAUUAAUCAAGAACGAAAGUUAGGGGAUCGAAGACGAUCAGAUACCGUCGUAGUCUUAACCAUAAACUAUGCCGACUAGGGAUCGGAUGAUGUUAAUUUUUUAAUGACUCAUUCGGCGCCUUACGGUU
rnacentral:rRNA from 1 species